rnacentral:rRNA from 1 species
CACGGAUCCAGAGUUUGAUCAUGGCUCAGGAUGAACGCUAGCUACAGGCUUAACACAUGCAAGUCGAGGGGCAGCGGGAAUCUAGCUUGCUAGAUUUGCCGGCGACCGGCGCACGGGUGAGUAACACGUAUCCAACCUGGCCCAUACUCGGGUAUAGCCUCUCGAAAGGGAGAUUAAUCCCCGAUGUUGUUGGAUUACCGCAUGGUUUUUCAACCAAAGAAUUUCGGUAUGGGAUGGGGAUGCGUUCCAUUAGCUUGUUGGCGGGGUAACGGCCCACCAAGGCAACGAUGGAUAGGGGUUCUGAGAGGAAGGUCCCCCACACUGGAACUGAGACACGGUCCAGACUCCUACGGGAGGCAGCAGUGAGGAAUAUUGGUCAAUGGUCGUAAGACUGAACCAGCCAAGUAGCGUGAAGGAUGACUGCCCUAUGGGUUGUAAACUUCUUUUAUACGGGAAUAAAGUGCCUUACGUGUAGGGUUUUGUAUGUACCGUAUGAAUAAGCAUCGGCUAAUUCCGCGCCAGCAGCCGCGGUAAUACGGAAGAUGCGAGCGUUAUCCGGAUUUAUUGGGUUUAAAGGGAGCGUAGGCGGGUUUUUAAGCCAGCUGUGAAAGUUUGCGGCUCAACCGUAAAAUUGCAGUUGGAACUGGAGACCUUGAGUGUGCAUAAGGUGGAUGGAAUUCGUGGUGUAGCGGUGAAAUGCUUAGAUAUCACGAAGAACUCCGAUUGCGAAGGCAGUCCACUGGGGCACUACUGACGCUGAGGCUCGAAAGUGCGGGUAUCAAACAGGAUUAGAUACCCUGGUAGUCCGCACAGUAAACGAUGGAUACUCGCUGUUGGCGAUAUAGUGUCAGCGGCCAAGCGAAAGCAUUAAGUAUCCCACCUGGGGAGUACGCCGGCAACGGUGAAACUCAAAGGAAUUGACGGGGGCCCGCACAAGCGGAGGAACAUGUGGUUUAAUUCGAUGAUACGCGAGGAACCUUACCCGGGCUUGAACUGCAGGAGACUUUUCCGGAAACGGAUUUUCCCUUCGGGGCUCCUGUGGAGGUGCUGCAUGGUUGUCGUCAGCUCGUGCCGUGAGGUGUCGGCUUAAGUGCCAUAACGAGCGCAACCCUUGCCAUUAGUUGCCAUCAGGUUAAGCUGGGGACUCUAGUGGGACUGCCACCGCAAGGUGUGAGGAAGGGGGGGAUGACGUCAAAUCAGCACGGCCCUUACGUCCGGGGCGACACACGUGUUACAAUGGUGGGUACAGAGGGAUGCUACCUGGCGACAGGAUGCUGAUCUCGAAAACCCAUCCCAGUUCGGAUUGGAGUCUGCAACCCGACUCCAUGAAGUUGGAUUCGCUAGUAAUCGCGCAUCAGCCAUGGCGCGGUGAAUACGUUCCCGGGCCUUGUACACACCGCCCGUCAAGCCAUGGAAGCCGGGGGUGCCUGAAGUUCGUGACCGCGAGGAGCGACCUAGGGCAAAACUGGUGACUGGGGCUAAGUCGUAA